rnacentral:rRNA from 1 species
UACAGAGGGUGCAAGCGUUAAUCGGAGUUACUGGGGCGUAAAGGGCGCGUAGGCGGUUUAAUAAGAUUGAUGUGAAAUCCCUGGGCUUAAACCUAGGAACUGCAUCGAUGACUGUUAAGCUAGAGUAUUGUAGAGGGUAGUGGAAAUUUCCGGUGUAGCGGUGAAAUGCGUAGAGAUCGGAAGGAACACCAGUGGCGAAGGCGGCUACCUGGACAAAUACUGACGCUGAGGCGCGAAAGCGUGGGGA